UGCAAAGUCUAUCUGCAAGCAAUGGAGGC
rnacentral:piRNA from 1 species